AAAGGUGCAUGACAACUCUGAGCAAGUCAAAACAACCGUCAGCAGCGGGAAACCUCGAUGAACAAACACCGGGAGAGUGUUUCUGCAGAUCCUGCUUUGUGACUUCGAGUGAAGUGUGGAAGCGCUGGAAGCACUUAGACCCUGCCUGUGCCGCAGACCCCUGGGAGGCACCAACACCCCGGAUCGAGAAGCCCGAUGGGAAAGAAUGUCUGGGAAGGACGUCAUGCCCGAGGCUUGCGUGACAGUUUCCACUCACAGUGCGCUCACUCUGAACCUCUGUGCACACGAUGGGCCUGCAUCUCUUCCCACUAUCUGCUAGGAAACACGAGGAAUGAAAUGAAAAGAAAAUGCAAAGCCCAGAACCUGGCAGAGAUGGGAUGCCCCAGGCCGGAGUGGGCAGGGCGGCGCUCUCAGCCCACUCUCAGCACAAACGCUGCCCCGUUCACCUCUCCGCGCUUGUUGCCAGAGCGUGUCAAAGACCCCGAAGAAUGAAAUGACUUCGGAAGAGGAGGCCACACACCCGUGAAACAAGCCGGAUCUGCAGCGGAACAUUCUUUACGUGUUUUGGGACAUUUCAAAGACUGAUGGCGUGCUGCCUUUGUGAUGUGUGAUCUGAAGAUUCCAUCAAAG
rnacentral:lncRNA from 10 species